CCCCCCCCCCCCCCCCCCCUGAGCUGUCUCCUGAGCUCUUUUGCAGGACAUUUGGCAGCUCUGAGCAGGAAAGGAGCAGACUUUCUCCAGCAAGACUUUCCGUGCAUUUACUGCAAUCCAUUAUACACCCCAAACACAGACGUGUGGCCGGAUGACAACACGCAUCCAGACCUCCGGUCUUCAUCGUCCUGACGACAGAGUACCGAAAACCGUUACAGAAUCACCCACCACAACAGGACCAAGCGGCGUGGUAACGGGCAACAGCAAAAGCAGCAGCAGGAGAAGCAACAGAGGCAGCAGCAGCAGGAGCAGCUGCAGCAGCAGUGGGAGAGGCUGCACUAUUUGGAGGAAUGGACAUGGGAGGAAGAAUUGGAAGGUAAAGGACCCUGGGCACAGCCUGGAGAAUAUCGCCGCCCCAAAAAUGUAUUGGGGGGUUGGCACACAGGAAGUGUGGUGAAGCCAGGUAGGAGACCUGCGCCAACUUCCUGUGCUUACCGGGGGGCUGGAGAGACCGGGCAGGCACCGUGUUAUGCUGUGAAGCGCACGGUGUCCCCAGUGCGGGUGCAUAGCCCGGUGCGGUGCAUUCCAGCUCCGCGUAUCGGCCGGGCUAGAG
rnacentral:lncRNA from 13 species